CCACUACAAAGAGACGCAAUACCGUAAGGUGGAGCAAAUCCCAAAAAAAGUGGUCCUAGUUCAGAUUGUGGGCUGAAACCCGCCCACAUGAAGCUGAAUUUGCUAGUAAUCCCGGAUCAGCAUGCCGGGGUGAAUCCGUUCCCGGGUCUUGUACACACCGCCCGUCACACCAUGGGAGUUCGGAGUGCUUGAAACCGUUGGCCUAACCCGCAAGGGAGGGAGGCGUCUAGGGCAAUACGAAUGACUGGGGUGAAGUCGUAACAAGGUACC
rnacentral:rRNA from 1 species